rnacentral:rRNA from 1 species
AUUAGAUUAAAAACCAAUGCCCUUCGGGGCUCUCUGGUGAUUCAUGAUAACUUCUCGAAUCGCAUGGCCUUGCGCCGGCGAUGGUUCAUUCAAAUUUCUUCCCUAUCAACUUUCGAUGUUUGGGUAUUGGCCAAACAUGGUUGCAACGGGUAACGGAGGGUUAGGGCUCGACCCCGGAGAAGGAGCCUGAGAAACGGCUACUACAUCCAAGGAAGGCAGCAGGCGCGCAAAUUACCCAAUCCCUACUCGGGGAGGUAGUGACAAUAAAUACUGAUACAGGGUUCUUUCGGAUCUUGUAAUUGGAAUGAGUACAAUUUAAAUCCCUUAACGAGGAACAAUUGGAGGGCAAGUCUGGUGCCAGCAGCCGCGGUAAUUCCAGCUCAAAUAGCGUAUAUUAAAGUUGUUGUGGUUAAAAAGCUCGUAGUUGAACCUUGGGCCUGGCUGGCCGGUCCGCCUCACCGCGUGUACUGGGUCCGGCCGGGCCUUUUCCCUCUGUGGAACCCUAUGCCCUUCACUGGG